rnacentral:rRNA from 1 species
UUAGGCCUAACACAUGCAAGUCGAACGAACCUUCGGGUUAGUGGCGGACGGGUGAGUAACGCGUGGGAAUCUGCCCUCAGGAGGGGGAUAACGGCUGGAAACGGCCGCUAAUACCCCAUAUGCCGAGAGGUGAAAUGAAAUUCGCCUGGGGAUGAGCCCGCGUCUGAUUAGCUAGUUGGUGGGGUAAAGGCCUACCAAGGCAUCGAUCAGUAGCUGGUCUGAGAGGAUGAUCAGCCACACUGGGACUGAGACACGGCCCAGACUCCUACGGGAGGCAGCAGUGGGGAAUUUUCCGCAAUGGGCGAAAGCCUGACGGAGCAACGCCGCGUGAGGGAUGAAGGCCUCUGGGCUGUAAACCUCUUUUCUCAAGGAAGAAGACCUGACGGUACUUGAGGAAUAAGCCACGGCUAACUCCGUGCCAGCAGCCGCGGUAAUACGGGAGUGGCAAGCGUUAUCCGGAAUUAUUGGGCGUAAAGCGUCCGCAGGCGGCCUUGUAAGUCUGUUGUUAAAGCGUGGAGCUCAACUCCAUUUGAGCAAUGGAAACUACAAGGCUUGAGUGUGGUAGGGGCAGAGGGAAUUCCCGGUGUAGCGGUGAAAUGCGUAGAUAUCGGGAAGAACACCAGUGGCGAAGGCGCUCUGCUGGGCCAUAACUGACGCUCAUGGACGAAAGCCAGGGGAGCGAAAGGGAUUAGAUACCCCUGUAGUCCUGGCCGUAAACGAUGAACACUAGGUGUCGGGGGAAUCGACCCCCUCGGUGUCGUAGCCAACGCGUUAAGUGUUCCGCCUGGGGAGUACGCACGCAAGUGUGAAACUCAAAGGAAUUGACGGGGGCCCGCACAAGCGGUGGAGUAUGUGGUUUAAUUCGAUGCAACGCGAAGAACCUUACCAGGGUUUGACAUCCUGCGAACCCCUGAGAAAUCGGGGGGUGCCUUCGGGAACGCAGUGACAGGUGGUGCAUGGCUGCCGUCAGCUCGUGUCGUGAGAUGUUGGGGUUAAGUCCCGCAACGA